rnacentral:hammerhead_ribozyme from 1 species
CCAUAGCUGAUGAGUCCCAAAUAGGACGAAAAACACUUCCUGGAC